rnacentral:rRNA from 1 species
CCUACGGGAUGCAGCAGUGAGGAAUAUUGGUCAAUGGACGGAAGUCUGAACCAGCCAUGCCGCGUGCAGGAAGACGGCUCUAUGAGUUGUAAACUGCUUUUGUACAAGGGUAAACCUGAAUACGUGUAUUUAGCUGUAAGUACUUUACGACUAAGGAUCGGCUAACUCCGUGCCAGCAGCCGCGGUAAUACGGAGGAUCCAAGCGUUAUCCGGAUUUAUUGGGUUUAAAGGGUGCGUAGACGGAUUGAUAAGUUAGAGGUGAAAUGUUCGAGCUUAACUCUGGAACUGCCUAUAAUACUGUUAAUCUAGAGAGUAGAUGCGGUAGGCGGAAUGUAUGGUGUAGCGGUGAAAUGCUUAGAGAUCAUACAGAACACCGAUUGCGAAGGCAGCUUACCAAUCUAUAUCUGACGUUGAGGCACGAAAGCGUGGGGAGCAAACAGGAUUAGAUACCCCUGUAGUC